AAAGGUAUAGCUCAGUGGUAGAGCACAUGCUUAGCAUGCACGAGGUCCUGGGUUCAAUCCCCAGUGCCUCCA
rnacentral:tRNA from 1 species